rnacentral:rRNA from 1 species
UACGUAGGUGGCAAGCGUUAUCCGGAUUUAUUGGGUUUAAAGGGUCCGUAGGCGGGCUCGUAAGUCAGUGGUGAAAGCCUGCAGCUUAACUGUAGAACUGCCAUUGAUACUGCGAGUCUUGAGUAUAUUUGAAGUGGCUGGAAUAAGUAGUGUAGCGGUGAAAUGCAUAGAUAUUACUUAGAACACCAAUUGCGAAGGCAGGUCACUAAGAUAUAACUGACGCUGAUGGACGAAAGCGUGGGGAGCGAACAGG